UACGUAGGGAGCAAGCGUUAUCCGGAAUUAUUGGGUGUAAAGGGUGCGUAGACGGGAUAACAAGUUAGUUGUGAAACCCCUCGGCUCAACUGAGGAACUGCAACUAAAACUAUUAUUCUUGAGUGCAGGAGAGGAAAGUGGAAUUCCUAGUGUAGCGGUGAAAUGCGUAGAUAUUAGGAAGAACACCGGUGGCGAAGGCGACCGCCUGGCCUGUUGCUGACGCUGAGGCACGAAAGCGUGGGGAGCAAAUAGG
rnacentral:rRNA from 1 species